CUCAAUGGCUUCAGCUCUGACUAUGAAGUACAUAAGCAAACAAAUAUAAUAAUAGCAGUUAAAUUCUGGUGGAGAAUUUUUGGGGUGCCACAAGCCUGAGACCAAACAAAUUUCCAUUUUCAACAAGAACAAAAUUAAGAUAACAGAUAAAAGCCAGCUACAAAAUCUCAUUGAGGGUCUUUUUGUUUUCAACUAUAAAUGAGUAUUUAUUUUACAACUUGGGCACUGUUCCAGACACAAGGGAUACAGAUGUGAACAAGACAAAUAACAUCGUCUUAGAGUGGACAAACGGAAAGUAAACCAGAUGGAAGUGAGUUCUAUAAAGAAAACAGAACAUGGUAAUCUGAUGGAGAGAUACAAGAAGUGGAUGAUGGAGCUACUUUAAAUAGAGUGGGUUUGGAAUAUUUCCCCAGGAUCCCGGUUCUCAGCACUAACUUCCUUGAGCUGUUUGACUCACUGCUACACAAAGGAACCUCAGAAGAACAAGUCUGUUGAAACUAGGCAAUAAUCAACUAGAGAAGAACAAAACCAGUCUGAUCAGAAAUGGCUCAUUAUGGGUAAACGGAGAAGUCAAAGCUGAAGCACAUUUUGGCCCGAGGAGCCAUUUUCCAAUUGUUUUCAAGCUCAAGGACACACAGUAACUAAAGAUUUGGAUAAUUCUGAUUCGGAAGAUUUCUGGGACAACUGAAGUUGAAUGGUAAACUUCUCAUGCUAUAAAACAUUGAAAAAUGGAAGUGAAACAUCAAGAAGUAAAGUCAACCGUGUGAAUAGUAGGUUUCAAAAGAAGCUAAGUAAACACUUUUACCUUUAGAGCUUCUUCAGGGACCCUCAUUUCUCCUUGUACUACAGUAAAAAGAUUUGUAUGUAAAUGGGGCUAAGGAAGAAUAUAAUCUCAAACUUCUGGUAAUUGAGCUAAAAAUGGUCAUCAAAUAUAAUUUAGAAAUUGUUGUAUUUCAACAGGUAAUUAUAGCAGAAUUAUUAUAUUUCCCCUGAAGAAUUAAAUAUUAAAAUAUGCUCACAAAUUCAUUUUAAAGUAGUGAAAAUCUUAAGAUCCAGCACAUUUUCUAAUUUUAAGUAAUGGUGGCCCUAAAGAAGCAAACAACUGGGUAAUUAAUCACAGCACAGACAUUUUCAAUUUUCCUUAACAAUAAUAUAACUACAAUGAAGAAAGAGUACAUGAUUACAUUAACAGCAAAUCACAAAAAUGUAAAGAAGUAUCUCAUCAAUGAUUAACCAACAGCAAUCCUAAAAGAAUUUGAUUACUCAGACUUCAUAGGUAUUGAUAAAAAUGAAGUUCAUUUCACAAGUGCAGAAGAAACGCUAUAAUUAGGGUCCAUACAGCAGCAACAACCAUGACCAUCCCCAUGAUUGCAAUCAAGGUCACAUUACAUUAUCAAACAAUGAGUUCUAUACGAAGAUUAGAUUAGAACCAAGUGCUAGAUAUAAUGAAUGCUUUCAUUAUUAAGCCAAAAAGAACAAUGCCUCUGUAUAUUAAAAAGAUCUAUUCACUAAAGAGUAGAGGUCACAUUUCCCACCAUUACUUAACUCUGUAAUGAAAGGACUUUUAUAACCAUGUACUAAAUUCUAUUCUUUACGAGUUCAGAGCACCCAUGACUUCAAGUGUAGAAAGCUGUAAUUAUCAUGACUACUUGGGGGGAAAAGAUGACUUCCCAAGCAUAAAGGAAGUAAUAAACUCGUUAGUGAGUAUUUACUCUAUGUUUCUACUUGUUAAAAUAAUAAAAAUUCAGAAUUGUAAAUAAUUAUAAAGAGCUUUGGGAAAUAUUCUGUUCAAUUCCAUUAAUCCUUCCUGUUUCAUAAAUAAAGAACUUGGAUAGUGGACAGAAAGCAAAACAAGAGUCUAGUCA